rnacentral:rRNA from 1 species
UGGGGAAUUGUUCGCAAUGGGCGCAAGCCUGACGACGCAACGCCGCGUGGAGGAUGAAGGUCUUCGGAUUGUAAACUCCUGUUGCUCGGGACGAAAUGCCUCGACCUAAUACGUCGAAGUUUGACGGUACCGAGUGAGGAAGCCCCGGCUAACUCUGUGCCAGCAGCCGCGGUAGUACAGAGGGGGCAAGCGUUGUUCGGAAUUACUGGGCGUAAAGGGCGCGUAGGCGGCCUGUUAAGUCGAACGUGAAAUCCCUGGGCUCAACCCAGGAACUGCGUCCGAUACUGGCAGGCUUGAAUCCGGGAGAGGGAUGCGGAAUUCCAGGUGUAGCGGUGAAAUGCGUAGAUAUCUGGAGGAACACCGGUGGCGAAGGCGGCAUCCUGGACCGGUAUUGACGCUGAGGCGCGAAAGCCAGGGGAGCAAACGGGAUUAGAUACCCCAGUAGUCCCUGAGCGGGCUGGCAAGGCGCAU